UGGGUAUUAUGUCAUUGCUGGAGGCACAG
rnacentral:piRNA from 1 species